CUAAGAGUCACAAAGCACUGUGGAGAAGAACUCCUCUGACAGUUGAUGCCUCUCAGCACAGCCUGUUAAGGCUCUGGUCCAUGUUCAUCAUUAGCAUCAAAUGUCACCUCUGUGUUUGGUGAACAGCUGCCCUGUUUGGUUUAAGGCUAAGACCUAGUCUGGCAAAGAAGAUGGAGCUGCUCAUUUCUGAAGAGAUGAACCUGUGGAAGUCUGCCAGAGCAACAGGCAUCAGAAUGAAGGCCAGCAAUAUGCAUACCCUGUGAGAUGGCCCCCGAGGGGUGCAGCAGAAGGAUCCUUUUUGCCUGAAAGGGGAACAGAGCUAACACAUCUUGGAUAAAUGCAUAUCCUCAAGCAGAUGGAACUGAUAGAUCAGGUAUAUGAACAAUCCCAACACAAUGAGAGCAGAGUAAAUACUAUCAAAUAAACUACCAAUGAACAAGAAGACAGUAGAGGUACCUUGAAAAUGCAGCAGAGCUUAGCUGUGGUCUGCUGGAAAGAAGUGGUGACCACAGAGAGCUUGGAGCUAACAAUGAGAAACUGGUAACAAGUCCCUGGGAUCCUUGCAAGCAGCAACAUGCUGUGUGGAGCAGGACUGUCGGGCUCCCUUUACCCAAGGUCCCAUCUGCAAGGACAGCAUUCUCAGUCAUUUUCUCUUCUGGUCCUUCAUGACUUCUGUCAUUUUUUGUGCCUCUGAAUCUGCCUCUCUUUCCUUCCUAUUCUUAAUGCUCUUAUUUUACCAGAGAAAUCUUCAUAACAAAAUGCUAUGUCUUUAAUACCAUCAAGGAAUUCCUUAAUCCUCUAGGUAAAUAUUUCUGCUUAGUGUAU